GUUAAAUGAUACCAUAACACCAUAUAGUUACAAUUCUGUUAUAAAUGUGCCGACAGUUCCCAAAAAAAUCCAUUUUCGGUGCUCCCUCCCCCACCCCAUUCCUUCCUGUGACCUACGCAGUGAUGACUGUGGAAGCUACUGGCUCAAUGGAAAGCGGGGAGAAGAUCGAAGGUUUAGUCAUAGUGUGGCCCCACCACCGCCAGCCCUGCCCUCUGGAAAAUAUUUCUGAGAAGCCUCAGUAUUGGUGUCCAGAGCAACAUGCUCAUCUGAAGAACACAUCUGAACUUUCUUUCUGCUGAAAAUCACAUUUAUUCAUACAAGCAAUGGAUUCCCUGGAGAAAUGCAAUUCAAAGAUGGCGGCCAGUGGAGUAAUUGAGGAAUGACUGGCCUCUCUUGGUCCCCUCCUGCCUUUCCUCCUCGCCCCUGCAGUAACGUGGUUUGCUUUUCCUAAGAGAUGCUGAAAGAGAGAAGCCAGCAAACCUCUCCAUCGAUGCAGCAAUGUGGAGGCUUAACAUUCAAUUAGAAAACCCACUUCAGCAUCUCCCACAGAGAAACAUCAGGAAGAGAUUCCUCAUAUAUAUUUUCACAGAAAACACUGGAAUCACCACACAGACUGCUAUAACUGCCCAUUUUCUAACUCUUUGAUGUGUACAAAUCUGACAGCUGAUAUUUGAGGGUGAGACGCUUAGAUCCUUUAAACACGAGUCGGACAGAACCGCUCUGAGAGAGUCAGUGAUGACGCCAGGGCAUUCCCCUCCCAGCCGCCCACCGGUGUCCUCCGAGCCUGCGCCCCACCGGGAGAAGGGGUCUGAUGUUUUAUUCUUCUACCUCCUUCUCAUGUGCAAGGCAACCUACAAUUUCUUGUGGACACAUCAACUUCUCAGUGUCUGUAUCAGGAAUUUCAAACUCUCAUUCAUCCUCCAUCACCUUGAUAAUCUCUACUUGGUUUGAACUGUCUAAAGAAAAAGAAAAAAUGUUUCUCUGUGCUGCGAAUCAAGUCUUUCUUUAGUCCUGUUUUUAUUAUUCUUCUAUCAAAAGAUUCAAGUUAAAGAGCGGGAUUCCUUGUUAAUCUCUUUAAUAAGCUUUGGCUGUUUGGAAUGCACAUAGUUGAGUUGGUCUCCCCAUGGGACCCUGGACCCUGGACCCUGAGGAUGGCCCUGCACGGGGGGUGCCUUAGCUUGUGUCUCUGCUCCGUCACUUGUCUGCAAGCUUGCUGAGGGCAGGGACUGUCUGCUUACCUCUGGUCCCAGCACCUGGCUUGGGGCCGGCACGGAGUAUGUGCUCAGUAAGUGCUGCGUUUGGGAACAGCACUUGGAUCCCAGAACAGUUAACACCCUCCCGCGAGGCCUCGGAGGGCGCAAGCGCCAAGCCCAAGCUUCCUUUCACAUCCUGCUCCUGCAGAAAUGGAGCAGCUGCUCCACUCGGGCUAUUUAAUGUCGAAAUCCCAUCUUCCCCCACGUGAGGCUGGCCUCUUCUCUACCGCCAUCAAUUCUCCAAGGCCGUCCAAGGUGCCUCGUGGAAGCAGACAUCUGCAGAUGGCUCGCGUGACCCGCGGAUGGGGGUUGAGCUUCACGCCUCACUGCCAUGCAGGCUGGUGUCUCCCGUCAGCAUCGGCGGGCCAGGCGGGGUGUCCAGGCAGACCCGUGACCGCCCGGAGGUCCUGCCUGGCAGUCCCUGGGCUGGCAACCUCCGAUGUCAGGGGUGUCACGGUGAACAGUGAUUGUUGAUGACGGGCUGGGGCACCCCACCCUUUAUUCUUGCCCCAGCCGGCUCUGAAAUUCCUGGAGACAGCACUGUCACCCCCUGUCAUCUCUGAGCCUCAGUUAACUCUUCUAGAAACUGGCGAUAACACAGUGCCCCAUGUAGUAGGCACUCGACCACCACAGCAGGAUUGACCCCACCAUGCACGGACUGAAGGCAAAGUGUGGGCUCCCGGAGGACCCACCGCGCUUUGGAGCAAAGCCCUCUCUGGUUGCUCAAGGCGGAUGCAGGUACAUGUGUGCUUUUCUGUUUCUGUCCACAAAGGUGCAGGAAAUUUCUCAGUAGGGCCAGAGGCCUGGGCCUCACUGCCUCUGUGACAGCUCCCACUUGUCACCCAACAAAGGCCAUGCCUUUGGCUGCACCUACCCGUGGCUUUCUGUGGCCAUAUUAAAGUACCCGAGGGCAGCUGUGACUCCCUCCCAGGGACCUGGUAAUAAGCACUGGCCCCGCACCUCAAUGCGAUUGAUUGAUUGAUUGACUGAUUGAUUGAUUUUGCUGAGGAAGAUUUGCCCUGAGCUCACAUCCAUCGCCAAACUCCCUCUUUUUUUUGCUUGAGGAAGACAAACCCUGAGCGAACACCUGUGCCAGUCUUCCCCUACUUUAUAUAUGGGUCGCGCCACAGCACGGCUGACAAGUGUUGUAGGUCCAUGCCCGGAAUCCCGACCUGUGAACCCGGCCCCCAAGGUGGAGCACAGAGCUUGAACCACCACGCCAUGGGCAGCCUCUCGAUGUGAUUUAAAACGUGCUUUGUUUACGCCCUUGUGAAGCCCAGGAGACUUGCAUCUGAAGCUGCCCAGCGAAUUCUGGGAGAAGAUGGUGGUGCAGUUUCCGGGAUGGAGACGUCCCAGGGCCCCGCCCUGAGUCUGAUAAGGAGUGUGUGAGUGGAAAUUUCAAGUAUUCCACAUUCUUCAUUUAGCUGGGUAACGUCCUGAGCUACUCCAGAAGAAAGAAAGCUUAAACAGCACAGGAGGAGCCCCAGCGGGAGGAGCGGAGGCAGCUGGUUCCCUAGGCUGUCACCACCUGCAGACGGAGGUGAAGGCAGCUGUGUCACCUGAGCCCCGUGGCGGGAAAUAACGACAUCUUCGGGGAAGGGGGCCAUCCAGUCAAGGAUGUGGGAGGUGUCACAGGACCCAGGGGCAGGAGGACCAAGGAAUGGGAACACCAGCAGGCCUCGGGGAGCCGUGGGGUCUCUCCACUCUGCUUCUCUGCGCUCGCCAGCCACUCUGGCUCUCUCCACGGAUGGCCUCCUCUGCUUUCCUACCUCUCAAGUCCACGCGUCCUCAGUUUGACAUGGACCAGAGGGGCCGUGUCUCAAUUCCAAAUGCCCCUUCAGGUUGAGCGUCCACCCCCAGUCCAAUCAACCAUGGGCAGAGGGUGGCACUGCAUGGUACAGCUGCAGCUCUGCUGGGCCCUCUCCCGUGGAUGGAGACGGAGUGGUUCUCAGAGGCUGGAGGACUGAGCCAGGCCAGCACCCCAAAGAUGGGUCUACUCCAGGCCUAGACGUUAGGUCUUCUGGCACCUUCUCCCCUGCCCGGUCUACCACAUACACCCACGUUGGCUCUACAAGAUGCUUGCAGAUCUCUGCCCAAACCAGGACGUUCUUUUUGUUUUGAAUAAGAAGUUAGCAAACUGUAGCUCACUGGCCAAAUCUGGCC
ensembl:lncRNA